rnacentral:lncRNA from 13 species
GCGACGUGGGCCGCGGUGAGAACAAAGGGCUCCGGGCUCCUGUCGGGGCUGCAAGGUCGCUCGCUGCCACUGACUCCGGGAAACCGGGGGUUAGUGACAGGUGCUAACAGUCCGUAACUCUUCCGCUUUCAUGCAGCUCCCGUCAUCCCUUUCACGAAGAACGUACGGGGGCGCGUAAUCACGCACGUACGUACAUCACGCACUUACGCAAGAGGCACGUACUCAGCCUUGCAUAUAGACAGCCAAGUCUUUAGAAAUCCACUCUCCAUGAAGCCACGCGUGACGUCAUCACGCACUUACGCACGCACUAGCCGCCAGGAGACGCUGUUCAGUUUACGGGUCCUGACGCCCGCUAGCCCACCAGGCCAGCAGGGGAGCUGGAGACCGGCAGCCUGGACAAACGACCGGAAGGAGGAAAAGGAACCGGAGGGAGGAAAAAGAAGAGGGGCGGGACAAGGCCAUCAGGCAGGAGUUUUAAGCUCAGAGCUGCGACACCAGCAGGGCUGUGGAGGCCCCACAGGGUCGCGGGGUGUCCCUUAUGCUGCGUUGAGGUGCAGGAUCAGAGAAGUAAAGAGACAGGACACUGAAGAACCGGUGAAGAGCAUCUGGACUCGGGGGGCCAUGCCACCUGUGAGCGGAGAUCAGCGACGGCCCCCAAAGGCCCAAGAGCAUCUGUAUUUAUUAGGGCUAUUUUGGACUCAGUAUUCACCUAAGCCCUCCAAAUUGCCCGGCACAUCCUGCCCACGCGGCGCAGUGCUGCAGCUUCCCUCUGGUCACGGGUCUGGCCGUCGGCUCGCCAAUUCCUCCAGCUUCCAUGGGACUCUCCGGGUGUUAGCACUGCAAGUUCCUCAGCAAACUGGGACUGUCGGUCGCCUACCUGGCAGCCAGUGAUAAGCACUUCGCAUCGGGGUAUGUUGACAGUAGAGGAAAAUCAAGAUUCACAGUAUACAGCACCAGAAGCUAGUCUGUGGAAAAACCUUCCAGUCAUCAAUCAGAUGUGUAAAAUUGUAAGUGAAGGAUUCCAUUUUCAUUGAAAAUCAAAAGUGCUCUCUUGUCAGGAAUAUACCCAGCAUGCACUAUAUGUAAUUGUAAAUACAAGAUACAUUGAUUUGCACGUGUGGAUGGGGGUUUUGUGAAAUGGCAUUUUUCAGAAUUCCUGUGAUUGUAGGACACCGACUUGUAGAAGGACUAGAAACAUGGAGUAGUAUGCAGAAGAGUUCAUGUAACAGUCCUGUGCUGUGUGUAAUCCCCUAUCUGGGCACCAAGGAAGGAGAGCUAAGCAGAUCCCUGGCACAAUUAGUGCCUGAAGAAUAUCUUAGUUUAUAGUGUUAUUACUCAGUUAUUUCCUUUAUAUAAUUCUUUAUAUAUAAUCAUGUAUUAGUUUAUAGUCAGAAUAAUUAGUGCCUGAAGAAUAUCUUACUAAGUUAUUUCCGUAUAUACACAUAUAUAUAAUUAUAUCUUAGUUCAUAGUCGGAGGAAUGCCUAGAGCAGACACGGUACAGAGCAUGAAUUAUGGGAUAAAGGCAGCUAUACAUAUAUAAGCAUAUGUUGCUUAUAGUCAGAGGAAUGUCUAGAGCAGACAUGGUGCAGAGCAUAAUUCAAGGGAAAAACAGUUAUACCAAGACAAGAAUCUGGCCCAGGCGGCAGUGUUCAGUAUUGUAAAGAUACCCACUGUAUGGCAGGCUUGGAGCAAGAGCGUCUCCUCCUGAAAAAGGAGUCGUAGUACCUUGCAUCCAGUUCUUGUGAAAGGCCACCCUCAGACCAGCAAUCCCGCGAGCAUCCGAGGGAUUAAAACCACUCUGGUAUAAUUGCACCUUGGUGACUGUAUAACUUUUCAGCUCUCUAGGUACUGUGCUGAUUCAGAUCAUCCUCCUGUAGAAAUCAUUGGAAGCUGCCAGCAGGUGGCUGUGGAACUUGUCAGCUCUGUUGCUGCUCAAAGCAUCCUCCUAUAGAAUUCCUUAGAAGUAGGCUGCCCCUAGAUGGAAAUAUUGCACACUGCACCCUCUUCACUGUGCACAGCCCACCUCCUUGCCUCAGUGACCUAAUGGGGGUGGACCCCUUGCUGCACACUGCCCACCUCCUAGCCUAGGUGACCUAAUGGGGGUGGACCCUUUGCUUAUCGCUCACGUGAAUGUCUUGAUCCUAUCACUGUCCUUAAAGAUGACCUCAUGCACUACCCUUCCUCCCUACCUAUACCCAAUAUAUACCAACACUUCUGGAUGUUCAGGGUCUCACCUCUCUCCGCUUGUAAGUGGUGUGGCCCCCCGAGCCCAGCUGUCUUUUCCAGUCCUUCUGUAUCCUGUCUCUUUACUUUUCAGAUCCAGUGCCUCAGUGAUAGGGGACACCCCACGAUCCUGCAGGUCUGUGGCUCUACACUGUACUGCUACCUUUAGACCUGCUUGGAAGUUAUGCUCCCUGCUGGCAUCCGGAAACUCCACUUUCAGAAUUUCCCUAGUCAACAGUUAACUGAUAAGAAGGCUCACUGUGCCUUGAUUCUUGAUACAAACAACGUGAUUUAUGCUGAAUACCUGCUUUCCUUCUGGGAGUCUGGAAUUUUGGUGCAUGCUAGGCAGAGGAUGUCUGUGUGACCAAACCCCAGUGUAAACUGUAGGCAAUGAGUCUGGGCUUCUCUGGCCAGAAACAUCACACGUGUCACGGCAUUAUUGUUGCCAGGAGAAGCAUGUGCUCUGUGUGGCCCCUCAUGAGGGAGAGAGCAUAAGGAAGUCUGUGUAUGGGUUCCUCCAAGCUUUGUUUGUGUCUUUUCUCCCUGUGGUCUGGCUCUGUGUCCUAACCACACAGCUGUAAUAAAUCUUAGUUGUGAUUAUAUGCUGAAUCCUGU